rnacentral:lncRNA from 1 species
GUGAUAGGUGAAUUGGUAUAAAUAGGAAUUAUAACUUAUAUCUCUAUGAGGAGUUUGUGAUCUUGAUACUCUUGAGGUGGAAGAUUUUGGAGUACCAACAAUAAUCUUGUCAUCUAUAAAUUUACAACAAAAAAAAAAAUCAAAUUUAGUAAGCGAUCUUUUCCCUAUACUUUUCUUGAUCCAAUGGUGGAUAAUAAGAUACAUCCCUUCCUCCUCCUCCUUCACCACACUUCAAAGCACGCUUUCUCAUAUUUUAUGUUCCGCCAUCUUUUUUAGCCAUGUAAACUUUGCUACAAUUUUUGCAUUUUCCCUUUGGUAGUCCUUUAUCAUCAACAAAUCUGUCGAAAUUAUCCCAAGCCAACGAAGUUUUCGUUCUUUUUGAAUUGGAUACUGAAUUUUCAUCAAAUUCAUCUUCAUCUUCAGAUAGAGGUAUAUCCCUUUAACUAGACAUCUCUUAUCAUUUGACGAUGAUUAAAUGUAAGUGCAUAGCAAAUAUUAUAAACCACAUAUAUGACUAAACCUCACAAAUUAUACAGAAUCAAACACUAAAACUCUGAAAUUGAUCAAAUCUUAGAUCUUAGGUCAGUUAAGCAUGCAACAAAAACCCAAAAUUAGCGUUAAACACAAAACCCUAAAUCCUAAAAAACAAUGCAAAAAUCCAUUAACUAAAUGGAUGGAUUUAAUCCAAUUCAUUAACUACAUUUAAUCACUACAACAACAGAUAGUUUUACAACAACAAAGGAUUCACAAAAAAAACUAUUUAAUCACCAUAAUAACAGAUAACAAAGGAUUCACAAAAAAUCCAUUUAAUCACCACAAUAACCAAUAAAUGAAUCGAAACCCAUGUAAUGGAAACACGAAUACACGAUAAAAACAUGUAAUGGAUGACAAGUGAAACUAACCAUAAGCGAAAUCCUGCAAUUGAGAACGUGAUUCUUCAACGUCGGUGACCAGUCAAUAGUUGGCGGAAGAGAACACGAUUCUAUAGAGCGUUAUGAUGCUGAAUGAAGAGGAAUUUAUGAUGAUGAAUGAAUGAAGAGAACACGUUGUUGAGUUUAGGAAAGAAAUCGAUGAAUCGGUGAAUUUAGGAAAGAAAUUGAUGAAUGAUGAUGAAUCGAUGAACACGUCGUUGACAAUUAAUCCCGAUGAUGAAUUAUAGAGAAAGAAAUCGAUGAAUGAUGAUGAAUCAGAGAGAAAGGAAUCGAUGAAUGAUUAUGAAUCAGAGAGAAAU